rnacentral:rRNA from 1 species
AUUGAACGCUGGCGGCAGGCCUAACACAUGCAAGUCGAACGGUAACAGGAAACAGCUUGCUGUUUCGCUGACGAGUGGCGGCCGGGUGAGUAAUGUCUGGGAAACUGCCUGAUGGAGGGGGAUAACUACUGGAAACGGUAGCUAAUACCGCAUAACGUCGCAAGACCAAAGAGGGGGACCUUCGGGCCUCUUGCCAUCGGAUGUGCCCAGAUGGGAUUAGCUAGUAGGUGGGGUAACGGCUCACCUAGGCGACGAUCCCUAGCUGGUCUGAGAGGAUGACCAGCCACACUGGAACUGAGACACGGUCCAGACUCCUACGGGAGGCAGCAGUGGGGAAUAUUGCACAAUGGGCGCAAGCCUGAUGCAGCCAUGCCGCGUGUAUGAAGAAGGCCUUCGGGUUGUAAAGUACUUUCAGCGGGGAGGAAGGGAGUAAAGUUAAUACCUUUGCUCAUUGACGUUACCCGCAGAAGAAGCACCGGCGAACUCCGU